CAGAUUUUAUAAGAGCACAUCCUAGAUAUUUGCAUAGUCCUAUAAAUACAUCCAUACCUAUAAUUUUGUGGGCGUAGGUCAGCUUUGUGCUGGUCCACACUGAACAGGAUAUGGAGCAGUCUCAUUUCAGGAGAUGACUGCAUUUAAAGAUGUAAGGAAAAGAAAAUCAUCUUUGAGAGCAACCUCCUUGAACUUGUACAGGGAGAUUGGUGAACUGGUUUGUUUUUAAUCUAGAAUCUGGGCAAGAAGGCUUUGUGGUCUAAACAACCUUUUUGAGGCUGAAAUAAUGAAUGCACCAGAAGCAGGUCAGUUGAUGUCCCAGAAUGUUUCCGGUGAUGUGAGAAUGUCUAGAAUCAUUACGUUACAUUACAAAUAAAUUUGUAGCUAAUUACUGCAAUUUACCAUAUUUUAAUACACAGUCAGUCUUUUCCUUUCCGAGACUCCCCAGCUGCUGCUCACUUAGCCACUUGUAUUUUCCUUUCAUCAUUCCCUAGCAAGAAGCACAGAGCAGAGAGGUCUGGGCUGUGCUGAGGCAAGCUUCAGGGGCUGGCAGGCUGCAGAGGGAGGGGGAGCCACUUGCACUCCCUCUGAGCCCUAGCAAACACUCCAUCACACAGUUUCUAUUGGGAAAAGCUUUGCUGAGUGCAAAAGACACAGAUCUCUGUGGAACAGAUUUGACUUUCAGAGGAAAGAGCUUUCAGAUGAGGAGGAUCAUUACCAAAAAAUGAUGUGCUGCACGCUGAAGUGAGCAAUGCAAGUAACAUGCAUAGGAAGCCCAGAGUGCUUGGAAAUUGGAAGAGCAGAGUGUGAGUGGAAGUGCCCUGUGGAUUACUAUAGGGCACGAAUCUGUGACUAGAAGGUCAUGCCAAGAGUUUGCUGGUGCAGUGUGGAAGCAUAACGGAGCCCUCCAGACUGCUGAGGAUUUGUUAGAAUGGGAGUUAUUGCCUUCAGGGUGUUUGGUGAAUAUUUAAGUGAUUUAAGAAGGUGCCAAGAAGGAAGAACACUGUAAUGGUUUGGCAAGGAUUGUGGGGAGAAUUGAUAACGUGCUAUCAGAUGCGGGGGCCUUUUAGCAUAACUCUGGGAGUAUGAUCAGGCUGUGGAAAAAAAAAUACUGAAUAACAGCAGAUUUUUCUCAGAAGUUAUGAGAAAGGGCAAAAUCAGGUAAAAGGGAGGAAAAAUGUUUCAAAACGAAAUUAUCACGGUCUC
rnacentral:lncRNA from 1 species